CCUAUGGGAGGCAGCAGUGGGGGAUAUUGCACAAUGGGGGGAACCCUGAUGCAGCGACGCCGCGUGGGUGAAGAAGCGCCUCGGCGCGUAAAGCCCUGUCAGCAGGGAAGAAAAUGACGGUACCUGAAGAAGAAGCCCCGGCUAACUACGUGCCAGCAGCCGCGGUAAUACGUAGGGGGCAAGCGUUAUCCGGAUUUACUGGGUGUAAAGGGGGCGCAGACGGCGAUGCAAGCCAGGAGUGAAAGCCCGGGGCCCAACCCCGGGACUGCUCUGGAAACUGUAGAGCUAGAGUGCAGGAGAGGUAA
rnacentral:rRNA from 1 species